AUGGGCUUGGCCACCAAGAAGGGCUGCAGGUCGUCGUGUCCAUGGCUGAGGGGAGGGGCGAGCUCAGCGACGGCGUGGAGAAAGGGCUAGAGCAGAGGAUGGGCGAGCUCGACUGGGGCGCUCGGGGAAGCGGUGCCAAGGCCGACGCUAGGAAGGGCGAUGCAGCGGCGCUGGCCACCGGCGAGGACGCGGCCGGGUGGAGGUCCGAACAGGGGAUGGAUGCCGUGGCAAGAGCUGGAGGCGAGGGCUUGGGGAUCCGAGUUGAGAGGAUGGUGUGCUCUGCUGCUGGGCGGAGGGCGGCUGGAAGAUGAGCCCAGGUGAGCGGCAUCGCAGGGAUAAGGAGACGGCUGGCUUGAAGAUGGAUACGUGAAUGAUUU
rnacentral:misc_RNA from 1 species